AUGUAUAGAGAAAGUUUAUUUGUUAUUAUAUUUUUCUAUACAAAAACAGUUGUUGGUCGAAUGAUAGGAGAGCACAAGGAGGAAACAACGCAAAAACCAAUGUUAAUUACUGGUUUGACUUUCGAUGUGUGGUGCAAGUUCCAAACGAAUACCUACGAUUGCGGUGAGCACGGGAGACACGCCUACAGGUUUUACUAUGACACAUUAAAUGAAGGAUGUAAAGCCACCCAUAUAGGUGACUGUGAUAAUAAUCUUAAUAAUUUUUACGACUUGAGAGAGUGCAAUGAUAUUUGCCGAGAACCCGGAAAGCGUGUUGUACCUGAAGUGUUGACACCAAAUGUAUAUUGUAGAAUGCAACCAGACUUCGGGCUUUGUAGCAAUUAUCACCCCAUGUGGUAUUUCGACAUCUCCACGAGAACAUGUAAAGGAUUCUCGUAUAGCGGGUGCGGUGGGAACCAAAAUAAAUUUGGAAACAUUCAAGACUGUACUAUGACUUGUUUACCGAAUAUCGAAUAUAGAGAUUGGUAAAAGUCAGGUUUUAUUUUUAAUCUAUCCAGUUUUUGACCGAUCGGCCGAAAUGACCAAGGUUUUUAAACAGGGCGAAAAUCGAAAAUACAUUUUUAUGGUCAGUUUUGCUUCAUAAUAAGGGAAGGGAGGGCAAAAUGGAAGUAUUGGACGAAAUGGACACUCCCCUUAUACCCCAACCACGCGAUGACGAUGAGAUAUGUCACAGGCGCAGCAUUGCCCAGCGAUACACGGCGAGUUUACCACUGAAGUUCAGUCCUGAAGAGUGAAUAUUCGUUGUCUAUUAGACUGUUAAAUGUUACAAAAGCAUUUAUAAGUGAACUUGUUUGAAUAUGGUAAGAAAUAUUCAGUUAAUUUAUAUACAAGGUAUUUUCUUCUUGAUAUCGAGCAUGCAUAAAUACAUAAAUGUAUUUAUACAAUUGUUAAUUACAAUUAUUGGUUGUUGCAAUAUGUUAGAACUAUAGGUAACUACUUAGUCAGCGCACAGUAAAUUUGAAAAUUCGAAGUUUAGGGAUAAACAGAAAAAUAACAUACAUACCAUAAUAUGGUGGAAGGUAUUUUUAAGUUGUAUGAAUGACUGAUUUUGCUAAGUUACAAUUACUUCUUAAGUUUUUUUAGAAUGCCAACUAAUGUGAUAAAGAGUCAUGCGUGAGGGGGUAACUUCGAAGAUGUGAGAUUAGGAACAAUUUCUUAUUCCGUAAAAAUAAAAAUAAUUAUGAAGAUAAAAGGAGAGAACCGUAAGAAGAGAACUAUAUCUUAACUUAUUAUAUUCCAUUUUGCCCACAUAUGCAUUCAAUUUUACGUACAGGUGAGCAAAAUACUUAUUUGCUUAUUAUUGUGAUUAGACAUUUAGUUUAAUUUAUUAUAUUAUCUUUAAAGACUGAUCAAAAUAAAAUAUUAAGACAAA